rfam:Babesia bovis strain T2Bo apicoplast, complete genome, whole genome shotgun sequence.
AAUUAAAAUAAAUUAAAAUUUAAAAUGAAUUUCUAAAAUUCUAUAAACGAAGAAAAUCAAAAUUAAUUUUUGAAUAUUUAUAUUUUUUAAAAUAUUAUUUCUAACAAAUAUUUAGAAUAAAAAAAUAUAAAGUUAUUGAAUGUUGUAAAUAUUUUUAUAAUAUUAUUUACAUAUAGUGUACUUAAAGAACUGAAUCAUCUUAGUAUUUAAAGGAAAAAAAUGUAACAACGAUUUUCUUAGUAGCGGCGAGCGAAUAGAAAUUAAAAAUAAUAUUAUGGUUUCAUAAUAUAGUGAAAAUGAAAUUUUAUUAAAUAAUAUGUAAAACAAUGUUAUAAUUUGUUUGAAUUGCGUUUUAUUUAGUACUAUCUGAAAAAUUUUUAAUAUUAUAGAAUUUUAUAGCGUACAAGUACUGUGAAGGAAAGAUGAAAAGAUUUUGGAUAAAAAAGUGAAAAGAACAUGAAAUUUUAAAUUUUAUAAAGUUUAUUUAAUUAAAUUUAAAUUUAAUUUAAUUAAAUGCUUGUUGAAGAAUGAGUCGGCGAGUUAUAAUUAUUUAUAAUAUUAAAUAUUACAUAGUGUAUUAAGAGGUAAAUCGAGUUUUAAAAAAACAUACACAUUAAAUAAUUAUAGACCCGAACCCAAAUGAUCUAAUUAUGCUCAGAAAAUAAAACGUAUUAAAACGUUUAUUGUUCGAACUAGUUGAUGUUGCAAAAUCAUUAGAUGAAGUGUAAUUAGAGGUGAAAUGCUAAUCGAAUUUGGAGCUAGCUGGUUUUCUCUGAAAUGUAUUUAAGUACAGAUGAAUAUAAAUAAUAAAAGAUAAAGCUCUACAUUGUGUGUAUAUAGAUGUUCCUAUCAAUAUGCACAUUGAGUAAACUAUAAAUUGUUAUUAUAUUUUAAUUAUAAAAUUGCUUUAUAAUUAAAAUAAAUAUUUAUAUGACAUUGAGACUGUUAGGGUUAAGCUUAACAUGUCGAGAGGGUAACAGCCCUUAAUAUAAAGUAAGGUUUUAAAAUAUAUGUUUAGGAUAAGACGUUUAAUUAUGAUUAUGGCUAAAAUAUAAGCUUUCAAGCGGCUAUUAUUUAAAGAGUGGUAUUGAGCACAUUAGAACAGUAAUUAAGUAUCACAAAUAAUAGAAAAUAAACAUAUAACCGAAUUUAUAGAUUUAAACUUAUUUAUUUUAAGAAAUUAGAAUAAACUACAUUUAAAAGGUAAGAGAACGUUUUAUUUGUAAUUACAUAAUUUAUAUGUGAAUAUAAAUAAAAAAUAAUGUACAAAUAAAAGCGAUAAUGCCGAUUUAAGUAAUAAAAUAUUAGAUAUAAAUCUAAUACUCCGAAUAUUUAUAGAUUUCCUAUUAAACGAGUAUAUCAAAUAGGGUUAGUCGAAGUCUAAAAAUAAAUAUUUAAUUAUAUUUGAUGACCAAUGAGUUAAUAUUCUCAUACUAUAUUAAAAUUAAGUUUAAUUAAAAUUUAAUCUAUAAUUAAAUAUGUAAAUUUUUUAUUUAUUUUUGUAUAACUUAAUAAGCAAAUAAUAAAUGAAAAUAUUUGUAUAGUGCCUUAUAGUUAACUAGAAAUGUUUAAAUUUAAAAUAUUUUAAUAUAUUCGUAUUAAAUCUGACACAAGUGAAUAGGUAGUAAAAAUACCAAGGAGAUGAAUAAAUUUUCUUUAAGGAACUAGGCAAAAUUAUUCUGUAACUUAGGGAUAAAGAAUGCUUUUAAAGUGUAACAUACUAGGCUCAAACGACUGUUUAUCAAAAACACAGGUUCUUGCUAAAUUAAAUAAUGAUGUACAAGAACUGACUCCUGCCCAGUUCUAGUAAGUAAAAAAAGGACACUACUAUAAUGUGUUUUUAUAAGCGCUAGUUAAACGGCGGCUGUAUUCAUAACGGUCCAAAGGUAGCGAAAUUCCUUGUCGGGUAAGUUCCGACCUGCAUGAAAGGAGUAACGAUUUGAGCGCUGUCUUAAAGAAAAUUUCAAUGAAAUAAUAAUGUCUGUGAAGAUACGGACUAUUUACACAAGGACAGAAAGACCCUAUGAAGCUUUACUAUAAUUUAUGAGUAUAAUUUAUAUAUUGUGUAUGAAGAAUAUAUGGUCAAAAUAAAUGUAAAUUUAUUUUUAUAGCUGGGAUACCAUUUGCACAGUAUAUAAUUAUUAAUAACAUUAAAUAUAAAAAUUUAUUUAAAUACUUAUAAAUGUGGUAGUUUUACUGGGGCGGUAUCCUCCUAAAUGGUAACGGAGGAGAACUAAGGGUAUUUAAAUAAUAUCUAAAAAGAUAUUGUUAGAUUUUAAAGAAAAAUAAUACCUUAACUGUUAAAUAAACUUAUUAUACAGAAAUUAAUGUUGGUCUUAAUGAUCCGAUAAAUAAAAUUAAUAGAUGUAUUAUCGAUAAACGGAUAAAAGUUACUCUAGGGAUAACAGGCUGAUCUCUCCCGAGAGAUUCGAUAUUGACGGGGAGGUUUGGCACCUCGAUGUCGGCUUAUCGCAUCCUGAAGCUGAAUAAGGUUUCAAGGGUUGGUUUGUUCACCCAAUAAAGCGGUACGUGAGCUGGGUUCAGAACGUCGUAAGACAGUUUGGUCCAUAUCCGGUGUAAAUUAAUAAAACAUUGCAAUAAUUCUUUUUAGUACGAAAGGAAUAAAAGAACUAUAUUAAUUGUGUGCUAGUUAUUUGAAUUUAGUUUAAGUAAUUAUUAGGUAGCAACAUAUAGGUAAAAAAUAAUUGCUGAAAAAAUAUAAGCAAGAAUAUGCAUUUAAAUAUGUUUUAAUUAAUAAAAAAUUAUUAAUAAACAAAUAAAUAUAAUAUAAAUGUAGUUUACAUACAGUGAUGUAUUUAGCUAUAUAUUUAUAAAUUUAAUUUUUUAAUUAU